rnacentral:rRNA from 1 species
GACGUAGGGCGCGAGCGUUGUCCGGAUUUAUUGGGCGUAAAGAGCUCGUAGGCGGUCUGUCGCGUCGGUCGUGAAAACUUGGGGCUUAACCCCGAGCUUGCGGUCGAUACGGGCAUGACUGGAGUUCGGCAGGGGAGACUGGAAUUCCUGGUGUAGCGGUGAAAUGCGCAGAUAUCAGGAGGAACACCGGUGGCGAAGGCGGGUCUCUGGGCAUUACCUGACGCUGAGGAGCGAAAGUGUGGGGAGCGAACAGG